CGAGAACCGGGGAGCGAGUCCCUCACGGCGAAGGGGGAGGACGGGGACGGGUCAGGGGUCCCCUCUGCAUUUCGGGGGGCAACAGCACUGGGGAAGUGACCAGAACGUGGUGGCCCCUUCCCUCGCCACAAGGGAAAGGGCGAGGAGCCGUCCAGAGACUCACUCAAAGGCCUCCAGAGGAAGGGGUCGGAACACCCCCCGCUGCCCCUCUCGGAAAACUGGGGGGACUUCCCACAUCUCUGGGGCACCUCAGCCCCGUCAAAGGGUGCGGAGAGGGUGGCAGAUCCCAGGCGUGCUGCUGACCCAGCUGUGGAAGAUGAGCCCAAAUCUUCCUUCCCUCUUUCCCUCACGGGCCCGGCCCUCGGACAGUUUAAAAGGGCGCUAAAAACCAUUAGAAAACAGUUUAAAGAGCACUAAAGGCAUCUCCCUUGUCCUCCCGGAGCAGCUUCACACUGAGGAUGCUGCGGAAUGCCGCCGCUCACCUCAGCACAACCUGCGCUCGCAAAAUUGUGCGCGUUUAUUUAUUUAUCGAUGUGCAGUAUUACAAGGCAAAAAUGCAGAGCCCGGGCACGGAAGAAACUAGAACACGAUGCUUCCUUCCACGCUGCGGUAGCCACGGGGGUUUUUCGCCCCCCACCCCCCGUUGAGAUUACUGAGGCAGAGGAUGGAUUUAAGAUUAUCAAUAAGCAAGAGAAAAUAAAUUGGAGGGGAGGGUACAAGGCGGAGGGAAAACAAUGGAACUGAUGAAACAAGGGAGGACAGGAAAAUUGAACAAGGCUGAAGAGACGAACAGAAAAGUCUCUGCCACCCGCAGUCCCGGUGUUGGUCAGAUGCGAUGCUGCUUUCAGAACAGUCAAUUCAACCAACAAGAAAUGCAGCUUCAAAGACAAAUAGCUGACCUACCCGGCUUCAGGGCAGAGAUGAGGAGGGGAAAGAAAAAAGAGGGAGAGAGAGGGGGAAAUAGAAAGAGAGGCAUGUUCUUUUGGAAGUCAGAUGUCUGCGGCCUCUGCUCCGUGCACACUGCUGGUGGCGAGGCUCCGUCCUUUCCAGGACCAUCUCCCACCUUAUCUCCUUGCCCGUGGCGAGAGCCACCUCCUUGUCCUGCUCCCCGGAGACACUCUAAUUCCUAGAUGCCUCUUGGGCUCUGCAGCUGCUGUUUUGCAACUGGUCUUCCCAAAUAAUUGAAUGUUCUUGCAAGGAGAAGUUGCUUCAAAGCUUUGUCCUGCCUUAAAGACUCUUAGAGACCCCCCAACGUUCUAGAAAUGGGAAUCUAACAGCAUAGUAGCAGGUAACUUCACUGAUGGUCAUUAACACCUCCCGGUGUCCCGGUAAUUUAAGUAGUGGUGCCGAGGGAGGCUGAGGUUCCCAUAGAUUCAGAGACCCCAGUUCACCCGGAAGGUGGUCAGUCAGUUCAACAGGCUUUGGAUAAAGCCGGCAGGGACUUCCUGGUUAAUUCCCCCUAAGGACUGUCCCCACCUGGACUUGUCAGGGCCCAGGAGCUCCUUUACCCAUUUCUUUAUUACAAGGACUCCCAUCCGACGUUAUCGCUCUGCACCCACCUCCUGUGUCCCGCUGGUUGCACCGUGUUUGGUUUUUCCUUCUUCCCUACAGAAAAAAACCUCAACCAAAGCCACAAACAAACAUUUUCAUUACCGAUGGCAAGCAGGAAGGACUCUUUCAUAGUAUUAUCUCUAAUCAAUGAUGAAUGGGUUGCACUAUGAAAAGAGAUAUGGUCAAUUCGGGGAUCAAAAAGGGCUCCCAAACCCACUCCCUCUCGCUGUCAGACCCCCAGGCCCAUCACUCCGCAUCUCGGUGGGCUCCAUGCCCCUCUCCUGUGGUUCUGGUGGCUCCCCCGAGUCCUGAUUGCCGCUCCUCCAGCUGAUGGAGAGGGCAAAGAAACCCCCAGAGAGAACAAGGCACCCCCGUGCACCCAGCAGCACAUAUUAUCGAGUUUGGGAAGGUCUCUGGAGACACCCCACCGAAUCCCCCCAGAAGAAAGCAGGGAACCUUCACUGCCUAAUUUAUCGGGAUAAGGAGUGGAAAGUUGUUGUCCUCAUGAAGCUGCUCGGGCAUAAACUUGCUCCCUGAAGCAGCACUGUAAUGCCGGAGCCCAAGCAAAUGCCAACCUUCACCCAUGGCCCCAGUCCUGUUUCCGAGCCCGGGGUGGUGCCUGACUCCCACAUGGUACCCAAAUCUAAGAAGGAGCUCACUCACAAGAAAGGAGGGACCCUGUUUCCCUCGCAGCCUUCAUCCACAGCGAGUCACCUCCAGGAAGGGCUGGAGUCCAGCUCAGUGCCAGCGCCCAGACCAGCCGGGACACAAUAUUUGUCCUGGACUCAGCCCCGGGAGCAUUUAGACACGACACUACCUCAGGGUGUCUAACCCUGGUUCUUCACCUCCCCCAAACACGCGAAUUGUCCCCAUUCCUGCUCUCUGCUAAAUAAGUUUUCGUGACAA